UACGUAGGCACCAAGCGUUGUCCGGAUUUAUUGGGCGUAAAGAGCUCGUAGGCGGUUCGGUAAGUCGGGUGUGAAACCUCCAGGCUCAACCUGGAGUCGCCAUCCGAUACUGCCAUGGCUAGAGUCCGGUAGGGGCCCACGGAACUCCUGGUGUAGCGGUGAAAUGCGCAGAUAUCAGGAAGAACACCGGUGGCGAAGGCGGUGGGCUGGGCCGGCACUGACGCUGAGGAGCGAAAGCGUGGGGAGCGAACAGG
rnacentral:rRNA from 1 species